UCGCUUAGCCGGAACAGAACGUGUCCCCCCCCUUCCAAGGAGCUUCUUCCCCGUUUCCCAGAGCCCCACAGCCGCUGUCUCGCCCCCAGCCUCCUCCGAGGGCUCCCUCUGCCCCCCGCCGCUCAGCCCGGCUCCUUCUCGGCCCCGUACCCGGUCUCGGAGCCUGAAAUUGUCCCAGCAUGAGUGACAUUGGCUUUCCUAAUGUAAUGACUUAUGAAAGAUAUAAUCAUGUGUUAAAUUGAAUCCUCCGCUUAACUGUUAAUGGUGUGCUCUGGGCACAUUUACGUAUUAGAUGCUAUGGUAACUAAUUACCACUAGAAGAAGGGAUAAUACACUUUCCAGACUUUGACAAAUAAUUAUGAGUGUUCACAUCCCUGCUAGCAGCAGUUGCAGCGGAUCUGCUGGAAUGAGUAAGUGAAUAAAUGAAUGGGGAGAUUCUGCUGAACUGCUGACAAUGAUGUACAGUGGUGCUUCGCUGGCAUGACGUUUGGGGAAAACGAUUCUGCUGCACCACCACACAAAACCAAUUAGAGAACUAUUUUCUGCGACAGGGAUGACAAUCAUUCGCUCAUCUCAUGGGAAAGUACAAUCAGCAAAAUCGCAUUACCGGUACGGGGCAACGCCAGAAACUCCAAGCAUCGUUCCACAUUUUCCAAAUGAACUAGUUUGAGAACCAAUAAUUAGAACAAUAUAUAUUGAUAGAAUUUUUUGACAGGACCUUUAGACACCCACCAGGGGAGCAAAGUAAUGAUAGUCCAUAUACAGCAAGCUAUGCUGUGUUUGCCGAACAUAUAACAUCAUCUUUCUCAAAUCAGUAAGACAUAUAGAAAUUCUGUACGUCUUCAGAUGGGGACAUGAUAGGAGGUACUAACUAGCUUCAGCUUCUUCCUUGACUUGUGAAUGACAAACUGUUUCUCCUCAGUGAAUUCUUGAUGGCUAGUAUUUUCAUACCAAGGAAAGAGAACUUAAAGGGGAAUAUCUGUUAUGACAAACUCACAAAAUCAAAGAUCUUCCUGCAUAAGGCUGAAAUGAUCCAGAACUCACUCUAUUUACUCAGUCUUUAUCAAGGAAGGCUUCCUCAAAAUACCCAAACACAGGGAGAUUAGGUGAAAUGGAAUUUUGUCUAGCACACAAAUAGAAAUUUGUUAAACUAGAUUACACUCAUAGAUUGCUUAAACACACAAAACUCUAAACAUAGCCUUGCAUAAAGAAAUAAGCAUUUGAUUAAACACAGUAAGGAUUCUGAAGUAUGACUGCAUCUGGUUCUAUGAAUAUACUAAGGUAGUCUCUGAAUUACAACUAUUAAUCUGUAUUCAUAAGAAGCCACAACUGUAUAUACUGUGAAUAUACAUUUACAAUAAAAAAGACUAUAUUUCAACAAAAACUAUAUUUCAAUAAACUCAAUUUCAAGUAGGAAAAAACCCCUAAGUGUACCAGUUUCCAAAGAAAAAGCCCUGAAUGAAUAAAAAAUAUCACACAUUUAAUAGAAGUAAAAAUGCUCUUCCAAAUAAAAAAAAAAUGAACAGAUUUGGUAAGAGGAAGAAAAAUUUUAUUAACUAAACAUAUGGCUUGCAAUUUAAUUAAUUGACUUUUGAAGAAAAAUAUUAUUUUUAUUGCAAAGUAUUACUUGUAUCGAAAUAUAAAGCUAA